UACGUAGGGCGCAAGCGUUGUCCGGAAUUAUUGGGCGUAAAGAGCUCGUAGGCGGUCUGUUACGUCUGCUGUGAAAACCCAGGGCUUAACCCUGGGCUUGCAGUGGAUACGGGCAGACUAGAGGCAGGUAGAGGAGAAUGGAAUUCCCGGUGUAGCGGUGAAAUGCGCAGAUAUCGGGAGGAACACCGGUGGCGAAGGCGGUUCUCUGGGCCGGACCUGACGCUGAGGAGCGAAAGCGUGGGGAGCGAACAGG
rnacentral:rRNA from 1 species